UUUGGGGGAAAUAGUGGUCCAUUAAGUUAGGGAAAAAGACAUCACCCCUUGAGAUAAAAUUAGGUUUGUUUCCUUUUACUCCUAAAAUCUUUUUACCGUGGGUAAAAAGAAGCAAUAUGGGGGGGUACAAAAGGAACCAAAUUUAAGUUUAAUUCAAGGGGUCUUGGGUCUUGAUGUCAUUUUCCCCAACAGGACGAGUCACUAUUUUCCCCAAG
rnacentral:pre_miRNA from 1 species